rnacentral:rRNA from 1 species
CUUUUGUAUAAUGGGUCAGCGACUUAUAUUCUGUAGCAAGGUUAACCGAAUAGGGGAGCCGAAGGGAAACCGAGUCUUAACGGGCGUUAAGUUGCAGGGUAUAGACCCGAAACCCGGUGAUCUAGCCAUGGGCAGGUUGAAGGUUGGGUAACACUAACUGGAGGACCGAACCGACUAAUGUUGAAAAAUUAGCGGAUGACUUGUGGCUGGGGGUGAAAGGCCAAUCAAACCGGGAGAUAGCUGGUUCUCCCCGAAAGCUAUUUAGGUAGCGCCUCGUGAAUUCAUCUCCGGGGGUAGAGCACUGUUUCGGCAAGGGGGUCAUCCCGACUUACCAACCCGAUGCAAACUGCGAAUACCGGAGAAUGUUAUCACGGGAGACACACGGCGGGUGCUAACGUCCGUCGUGAAGAGGGAAACAACCCAGACCGCCAGCUAAGGUCCCAAAGUCAUGGUUAAGUGGGAAACGAUGUGGGAAGGCCCAGACAGCCAGGAUGUUGGCUUAGAAGCAGCCAUCAUUUAAAGAAAGCGUAAUAGCUCACUGGUCGAGUCGGCCUGCGCGGAAGAUGUAACGGGGCUAAACCAUGCACCGAAGCUGCGGCAGCGACACUGUGUGUUGUUGGGUAGGGGAGCGUUCUGUAAGCCUGUGAAGGUGUCUGUGAGGAUGCUGGAGGUAUCAGAAGUGCGAAUGCUGACAUAAGUAACGAUAAAGCGGGUGAAAAGCCCGCUCGCCGGAAGACCAAGGGUUCCUGUCCAACGUUAAUCGGGGCAGGGUGAGUCGACCCCUAAGGCGAGGCCGAAAGGCGUAGUCGAUGGGAAACAGGUUAAUAUUCCUGUACUUGGUGUUACUGCGAAGGGGGGACGGAGAAGGCUAUGUUGGCCGGGCGACGGUUGUCCCGGUUUAAGCGUGUAGGCUGGUUUUCCAGGCAAAUCCGGAAAAUCAAGGCUGAGGCGUGAUGACGAGGCACUACGGUGCUGAAGCAACAAAUGCCCUGCUUCCAGGAAAAGCCUCUAAGCAUCAGGUAACAUCAAAUCGUACCCCAAACCGACACAGGUGGUCAGGUAGAGAAUACCAAGGCGCUUGAGAGAACUCGGGUGAAGGAACUAGGCAAAAUGGUGCCGUAACUUCGGGAGAAGGCACGCUGAUAUGUAGGUGAAGUCCCUCGCGGAUGGAGCUGAAAUCAGUCGAAGAUACCAGCUGGCUGCAACUGUUUAUUAAAAACACAGCACUGUGCAAACACGAAAGUGGACGUAUACGGUGUGACGCCUGCCCGGUGCCGGAAGGUUAAUUGAUGGGGUCAGCGCAAGCGAAGCUCUUGAUCGAAGCCCCGGUAAACGGCGGCCGUAACUAUAACGGUCCUAAGGUAGCGAAAUUCCUUGUCGGGUAAGUUCCGACCUGCACGAAUGGCGUAAUGAUGGCCAGGCUGUCUCCACCCGAGACUCAGUGAAAUUGAACUCGCUGUGAAGAUGCAGUGUACCCGCGGCAAGACGGAAAGACCCCGUGAACCUUUACUAUAGCUUGACACUGAACAUUGAGCCUUGAUGUGUAGGAUAGGUGGGAGGCUUUGAAGUGUGGACGCCAGUCUGCAUGGAGCCGACCUUGAAAUACCACCCUUUAAUGUUUGAUGUUCUAACGUGGACCCGUGAUCCGGGUUGCGGACAGUGUCUGGUGGGUAGUUUGACUGGGGCGGUCUCCUCCUAAAGAGUAACGGAGGAGCACGAAGGUUGGCUAAUCCUGGUCGGACAUCAGGAGGUUAGUGCAAUGGCAUAAGCCAGCUUGACUGCGAGCGUGACGGCGCGAGCAGGUGCGAAAGCAGGUCAUAGUGAUCCGGUGGUUCUGAAUGGAAGGGCCAUCGCUCAACGGAUAAAAGGUACUCCGGGGAUAACAGGCUGAUACCGCCCAAGAGUUCAUAUCGACGGCGGUGUUUGGCACCUCGAUGUCGGCUCAUCACAUCCUGGGGCUGAAGUAGGUCCCAAGGGUAUGGCUGUUCGCCAUUUAAAGUGGUACGCGAGCUGGGUUUAGAACGUCGUGAGACAGUUCGGUCCCUAUCUGCCGUGGGCGCUGGAGAACUGAGGGGGGCUGCUCCUAGUACGAGAGGACCGGAGUGGACGCAUCACUGGUGUUCGGGUUGUCAUGCCAAUGGCACUGCCCGGUAGCUAAAUGCGGAAGAGAUAAGUGCUGAAAGCAUCUAAGCACGAAACUUGCCCCGAGAUGAGUUCUCCCUGACCCUUUAAGGGUCCUGAAGGAACGUUGAAGACGACGACGUUGAUAGGCCGGGUGUGUAAGCGCAGCGAUGCGUUGAGCUAACCGGUACUAAUGAACCGUGAGGCUUAACCU